rnacentral:rRNA from 1 species
GAUGAACGCUGGCGGCGUGCCUAAUACAUGCAAGUCGAGCGAACAGACGAGGAGCUUGCUCCUCUGACGUUAGCGGCGGACGGGUGAGUAACACGUGGAUAACCUACCUAUAAGACUGGGAUAACUUCGGGAAACCGGAGCUAAUACCGGAUAAUAUAUUGAACCGCAUGGUUCAAUAGUGAAAGACGGUUUUGCUGUCACUUAUAGAUGGAUCCGCGCCGCAUUAGCUAGUUGGUAAGGUAACGGCUUACCAAGGCAACGAUGCGUAGCCGACCUGAGAGGGGGAUCGGCCACACUGGAACUGAGACACGGUCCAGACUCCUACGGGAGGCAGCAGUAGGGAAUCUUCCGCAAUGGGAGAAAGCCUGACGGAGCAACGCCGGGGGAGUGAGGAAGGUCUUCGGAUCGUAAAACUCUGUUAUUAGGGAAGAAAAAAUGUGUAAGUAACUAUGCACGUCUUGACGGUACCUAAUCAGAAAGCCACGGCUAACUACGUG